rnacentral:rRNA from 1 species
GGUUAAGUGACUAAGCGUACACGGUGGAUGCCUUGGCAGUCAGAGGCGAUGAAAGACGUAGUAACUUGCGAUAAGCCCAGAUUAGGUAGUAACAACCAUUUGAGUCUGGGAUUUCUGAAUGGGGAAACCCACGUGCAUAAGCACGUAUCCUUACCUGAAUACAUAGGGUAAGGAGGCGAACCGGGGGAACUGAAACAUCUAAGUACCCCGAGGAAAAGAAAUCAACCGAGAUUCCGAAAGUAGCGGCGAGCGAAAUUGGACUAGCCCUUAAGCUUUACACGCGUUAGACGAACGGUCUGGAAAGUCCGACGAUACAGGGUGAUAGUCCCGUAGUUGACGACGUGUGUUCAGUGAAAUCGAGUAGGGCGGGACACGUGAUAUCCUGUCUGAAUAUGGGGGGACCAUCCUCCAAGGCUAAAUACUACUGACUGACCGAUAGUGAACCAGUACCGUGAGGGAAAGGCGAAAAGAACCCCUGUGAGGGGAGUGAAAUAGAACCUGAAACCGUGUACGUACAAGCAGUAGGAGCAGGCUUUGUCCUGUGACUGCGUACCUUUUGUAUAAUGGGUCAGCGACUUAUAUUCAGUGGCAAGGUUAACCAUCUAGGGGAGCCGUAGGGAAACCGAGUCUUAACUGGGCGUUCAGUCUCUGGAUAUAGACCCGAAACCAGGUGAUCUAGCCAUGGGCAGGUUGAAGGUUGAGUAACAUCAACUGGAGGACCGAACCGACUAAUGUUGAAAAAUUAGCGGAUGACUUGUGGCUAGGGGUGAAAGGCCAAUCAAACCUGGAGAUAGCUGGUUCUCCCCGAAAGCUAUUUAGGUAGCGCCUCGGACGAAUACUACUGGGGGUAGAGCACUGUUAAGGCUAGGGGGUCAUCCCGACUUACCAACCCUUUGCAAACUCCGAAUACCAGUAAGUACUAUCCGGGAGACACACGGCGGGUGCUAACGUCCGUCGUGGAGAGGGAAACAACCCAGACCGCCAGCUAAGGUCCCAAAUUACUACUAAGUGGGAAACGAUGUGGGAAGGCUCAGACAGCCAGGAUGUUGGCUUAGAAGCAGCCAUCAUUUAAAGAAAGCGUAAUAGCUCACUGGUCGAGUCGGCCUGCGCGGAAGAUGUAACGGGGCUAAGUAGUAAACCGAAGCUGCGGCAAUAUACUUUUGUAUAUUGGGUAGGGGAGCGUUCUGUAAGCGGUUGAAGGUGUGUGGUAACGCAUGCUGGACGUAUCAGAAGUGCGAAUGCUGACAUGAGUAACGAUAAAGGGGGUGAAAAACCUCCUCGCCGGAAGACCAAGGGUUCCUGUCCAACGUUAAUCGGGGCAGGGUAAGUCGACCCCUAAGGCGAGGCCGAAAGGCGUAGUCGAUGGGAAACGGGUUAAUAUUCCCGUACUUCUUACAAUUGCGAUGGGGGGACGGAGAAGGCUAGGUGGGCCUGGCGACGGUUGUCCAGGUUCAAGUGCGUAGGCUUAAGAGUUAGGUAAAUCCGGCUCUUUUUAAGGCUGAGACACGACGUCGAGCACCUACGGGUGUGAAGUCAUUGAUGCUAUGCUUCCAGGAAAAGCCUCUAAGCUUCAGAUUGUAAGGAAUCGUACCCCAAACCGACACAGGUGGUCGGGUAGAGAAUACCAAGGCGCUUGAGAGAACUCGGGUGAAGGAACUAGGCAAAAUGGUACCGUAACUUCGGGAGAAGGUACGCUCUUGAUGGUGAAGUCCCUUGCGGAUGGAGCUGACGAGAGUCGCAGAUACCAGGUGGCUGCAACUGUUUAUUAAAAACACAGCACUGUGCAAAAUCGUAAGAUGACGUAUACGGUGUGACGCCUGCCCGGUGCCGGAAGGUUAAUUGAUGGGGUUAGACUUCGGUCGAAGCUCUUGAUCGAAGCCCCGGUAAACGGCGGCCGUAACUAUAACGGUCCUAAGGUAGCGAAAUUCCUUGUCGGGUAAGUUCCGACCUGCACGAAUGGCGUAAUGAUGGCCACGCUGUCUCCACCCGAGACUCAGUGAAAUUGAAAUCGCUGUGAAGAUGCAGUGUACCCGCGGCUAGACGGAAAGACCCCGUGAACCUUUACUACAGCUUGGCACUGAACAUUGACCCUACAUGUGUAGGAUAGGUGGGAGGCUUUGAAGCACGUACGCCAGUAUGUGUGGAGCCGUCCUUGAAAUACCACCCUUGUAGUGUUGAUGUUCUAACGUCGACCCCUAAUCGGGGUUGCGGACAGUGCCUGGUGGGUAGUUUGACUGGGGCGGUCUCCUCCCAAAGAGUAACGGAGGAGCACGAAGGUGGGCUAAUCACGGUUGGACAUCGUGAGGUUAGUGCAAUGGCAUAAGCCCGCUUGACUGCGAGAAUGACAAUUCGAGCAGGUGCGAAAGCAGGUCAUAGUGAUCCGGUGGUUCUGAAUGGAAGGGCCAUCGCUCAACGGAUAAAAGGUACUCCGGGGAUAACAGGCUGAUACCGCCCAAGAGUUCAUAUCGACGGCGGUGUUUGGCACCUCGAUGUCGGCUCAUCACAUCCUGGGGCUGAAGUCGGUCCCAAGGGUAUGGCUGUUCGCCAUUUAAAGUGGUACGCGAGCUGGGUUUAGAACGUCGUGAGACAGUUCGGUCCCUAUCUGCCGUGGGCGUUGGAAGAUUGAAGGGGGCUGCUCCUAGUACGAGAGGACCGGAGUGGACGAACCUCUGGUGUUCGGGUUGUGUCGCCAGACGCAUUGCCCGGUAGCUAAGUUCGGAAUCGAUAACCGCUGAAAGCAUCUAAGCGGGAAGCGAGCCCUGAGAUGAGUCUUCCCUGAUACUUUAAGUAUCCUAAAGGGUUGUCGGAGACUACGACGUUGAUAGGUCAGGUGUGUAAGUGCUGUGAGGCAUUGAGCUAACUGAUACUAAUUGCCCGUGAGGCUUAACCAU